rnacentral:lncRNA from 10 species
UUCCUGAAUAUAUCACAUGUGGUGAUAAACAUGAAGAUGUAUGAAAAAUUGUGUUCGUUGAGAGAAAAUGGAAGGCUUUUCAUUCUACUUCCACAUUUUCAUUCCAGCAGCUUUUCUGUUUUGGAAGAUGAGUACUGAAUCUUGCAAUGAAAUUUUUUUAACUUAAACAAGGUUCUUAUGCCUUUGUUUGAAAAACAUGGUUCCCUGUGAAAUUUUACAUGUAGAAGAAAGCUUCACACUACGAGAGCUCUCAGGAUAUAAUUAUUUCAGACAGAUACUGGGAACAUAAGAUGGCUUAUCAAUCUAAGAUGGCCUUCCUGUCCUUCGGAUUGAACUGAAACCAUCCCUGAUUCCAGGGAUAGGUAGAUGAUCCAGGUUUGGACAAUCAAAAUAUUGAACCACCCUGGACCUACAAGUGUUUCUGGGAUGGGAACAUGCAAACGUUGGUCCAAAUUGUUGUUCUAGGCAGCCCAGUACAUUUCUCCAAUGCCUGAUGGAAUGAUAGGGUAUGCAUAAAUGUUCAUGUGGGCUCUGGAGUAUACCAGGAACUGAAGUAAGGUACAUGGACGUCUUGAAUAUUGUAACUGAGAUGGGCAAGCCUACACCUUUGCAAAUAAAGGAGGAUUGGGAAAGAUUAAGCCUCUCAAGCACUGUGAAAAAUCACUUUCUCUUGUUGUAUUCUUGGAGCCCCUGCUAAUUCAUUAUUGAAAAAUACCUGCUGCCUGCAUUUGGCCUUAUGUUGUCAUUUACUUG